UAAGCAUCAAGAGCAAACCCCAAAGCGUGUC
rnacentral:piRNA from 1 species